rnacentral:rRNA from 1 species
AUGGAGCUGCAGGAAGACGUGCGUGCCACGGAUGAGGAGAGCCAGCCUCACUUCCUGAUCGUGACGUACCCGGCGCAGGGCCACAUCACCCCGGCGCGUCACCUCGCGCGCCGUCUCGUGCGCGCGGCCGCCGGCGCCGGCGGUGCGCGCGUCACCAUAUGCACCCCUGUCUCGGCCUUUCGGAAGAUGUUCGCUGACGCAACAAGCGCGGUGGGCGGCGACGAGAUAAGGGAAGAGGGCGGGGUCGCAUACGCCGCUUACUCCGACGGCUACGACGGUGGGUUCGACCGCACCGCGGGCGACUAUGCGCACUACAUGUCGCAGGUGAGGCUGGAGGGAGCGCGCACGCUGUCCGGGCUGCUCCGGCGCCUUGGCGAUCGCGGGCACCCCGUCACCUGCGCAGUGUACACGCUGCUCAUGCCGUGGGUGGCCGCCGUUGCGCGGGCGUACGGCGUGGCGGUCGUCGCGGUGUUCUGGAUCCAGCCGGUCACCGCGCUCGCCGCGUACUACCACUACUUCCGAGGGAGCCGGGAGGCCGUCAUGGCGGCCGCCGCGUCGCGUGACCCGAAUGCCGAGGUGUGUAUCCCGGGCCUCCCGCCGCUCCGGUUCCGGGACCUGCCGUCCUUCCUCGCCGUCACCUCGGACGACGACCCGUUUGCCUGCCUGAUCCCGGAGUUCCGCGAGCUCAUCGACGCGCUCGACGGCGACUCCGAGAAGCCCCCUACGUACGUCCUCGCCAACACGUUCGAGGCCAUGGAGCCUGAUGCGCUGGCUUCGUUGAGGCCUCACGUCGAAGUGGUAACCGUCGGUCCCGUGCUCUCGUUCCUGCACGACGGCCACGACGGCAACAGUCCAAACGACCUGUUCGACCACGACGGCGAAGGCUACCUCCACUGGCUGGAUACGAAGCCGGCCAAGUCGGUGGUGUACAUCUCCUUCGGGAGCACGUCGGUGAUGAGCAAGACGCAGGUCGCCGAGAUAGCGGACGCCAUGAGCCAGUCCAACAGGCCGUUCCUAUGGGUGCUACGGAAAGACAACUGCAGGGACAAGGACGAAGGCGAUGCGAUCAAGGGACUCCUCGCAACGGCGUCGGCGGCCACGUACGACGACGACGACGCCGGUGGCAUGGUGGUGGAGUGGUGCGACCAGGCGCGCGUGCUCUCGCAUCCGUCCGUGGGGUGCUUCGUGACGCACUGCGGGUGGAACUCGACACUGGAGAGCGUGGCCUGCGGCGUGCCCAUAGUUGCGGCGCCGCAGUACUCGGACCAGGGGACGAACGCGUGGCUCGUGGAGCGGGCGCUGGGCGUGGGUGUCCGCGCCACGGCGCGCGCGGAGGAUGGCGUCCUGGAGGCCGGGGAGCUGAGGAGGUGCGUGGAGAUAGCUACGUCGGAGGCGGUGACGUCGCGCGCCGCGUCGUGGAAGGAGGAGGCGAGGGUGGCCGUGGCCGACGGCGGCGGCUCAGAGCGGAGCCUGAGGGAGUUUGUGCGGCGGAUUGCAGGCGGUAGUACCUGA